GGCUGUUGUUGCUUUGUGGGAGGCACAGGCAAAUCAAUUCCCAGCCGAGACUCUGCAGCAGCAGAUGCAGCAAGGACCAAUUGUCAUUCUCUUUGUUGCCGUGACUGUCAAGCUGCAUGAAGGCCAACUGUGUUUGCAAGGAAGCAAAGUCUGUAGGUGGUAUCCCAAUGCUCCUAUUCCAGAAGUUUUAGCUUUGCAGAACAGUUCUGCUGGAGUUUCACAUGAGGCCAGAUUGGUUGACACAUCACCAACAUAGACCCAGACGGGUUAGUGCAUGGCAGGGCUUUCUUCUGGAUGAUGAUGCUUUUGGACCGCUUAAGAAGACUGUUCAUGAUAUGGAGACGCGCUCCCCGUGGUUGUUUGCGAUAUACAGUAGUAUGAGAACAAGGAGGACCCCUACUUUCCAAGUUUCCAUGGCUCGUGGUGUUGGUUAUAUUUUGACCUUUCUGUGACCCUUUGUACCUCCCCAAUCGGUCAGUCUUUUGUAGAUAUAUGGGCUGUUUCGUGUCUUCUCGAGUAGCCCGUAGUUAGGGGAAUGCAGCCAUCCUAUGUUCAUAUUACUACCUAAGAUGCUCCCUGUAAAUCUGUA